GAGCACAAGAGUAUAAGAAAUUCCGGCUGCCUGUUUCUGGGCUAUUUAAAUCCCAGUAGACAUGCUCUCUUGUACAGACUUCCUGGGCUCAACCCAGCUCACAGGGAGCUGGGGAAUCUGUAUUACAUUAUCAGUUAUUGUUUUUGGUCAAAUCUAAGGACAAACAUAUGAAGAAGCAGAGCAUGCAGCACUGGUUCAGGAGGUUCAAGCAACAUUAUCAGAUUCUUGUUGAGAAACAAAUGGUUGUUACUGUGCCACCGCACACUGCAGACAAUUCCUAGAUAUCGAGAGAGGUCCAAGCUAGCAACAGAGAAUUUAAUACUAGCUGCUGGACCGGGACUCCUGGGCUCACUAUGUUGCAGCUACAGAUUCUCAGAAUGCCAUUUAAACUUCCUGAGUUUAUCUGAGAAGUAAACCAAGGGUGUAGGUGAUGAGGCAGCAUUUACUGGUACAGUUAGUCCCCCCUUAUCCACAGUUUUGCUUUCCAUGGUGUCAGUUACCCACAGUCAACCACAGUCUGAAAAUGUUAAAUAGAAAAUUCUAGAAAUGAACAACUCAUAAAUUUUAAAUUGCACAUUGUUCUGAGCAGCAUGAUGAAAUCUCGUGCCAUCCACUCUAUCUCACCCUUGAAUCAUCCCUUUGUCCAGCACAUCCAGGCUGUAUAUAUCGCCCACCAGUUAGUCACUCAGUACUGUCUGGGUUAUCAGAUUGUUGCAGUAUCACAGCGCUUGUGUUCCAGUAACUCCUAUUUUACUUAACAAUGUAAAAGUGCAAGAGUAGUAAUGCUGGUAUAUUGUUAUAAUUGUUCUAUGUUAUUAUUAACUACUGUUAGCCUCAUUAACAUUUAAUUUAUAA
rnacentral:lncRNA from 1 species